GUGAAUCAUCGAAUUUUUGAACGCAAAUUGCACUUCCUAGCAUCCCGGGGAGUAUGCCUAUUUGAGGGUCAGUAUUAACAAUAAAAUCGGUUUGGUUGCAAGUUGUUUAGAUUCCGGUGUUUGGUCUAUCUUAACUUUUUUAGUUAAGGGGCUUAAAAUUUACCUUUUUUGCGCGUUUUUUUCCGUAAAUAAAUUUUUUUUUUUUAUUCGUCUGUUCGUA
rnacentral:misc_RNA from 1 species